rnacentral:rRNA from 1 species
AAACCAGCACCUCAAGUGGUCAGGAGGAUUAUUGGGCCUAAAGCAUCCGUAGCCUGUUCUGUAAGUUUUCGGUUAAAUCCAUUAGCUCAACUAAUGGGCUGCCGAAAAUACUGUAGAACUAGGGAGUGGGAGAGGUAGACGGUAUUCGGUAGGAAGGGGUAAAAUCCUUUGAUCUAUUGAGGACCACCUGUGGCGAAGGCGGUCUACCAGAACACGUUCGACGGUGAGGGAUGAAAGCUGGGGGAGCAAACCGGAUUAGAAACCCCUGUAGUCC